UGGGGAAUAUUGGGCAAUGGACGCAAGUCUGACCCAGCAACGCCGCGUGAAGGAAGAAGGCUUUCGGGUUGUAAACUUCUUUGACAGGGGAAGAGUAGAAGACGGUACCCUGAAAACAAGCCACGGCUAACUACGUGCCAGCAGCCGCGGUAAUACGUAGGUGGCAAGCGUUGUCCGGAUUUACUGGGUGUAAAGGGCGUGUAGCCGGGAAGGCAAGUCAGAUGUGAAAUCUGGAGGCUCAACCUCCAAACUGCAUUUGAAACUGCUUUUCUUGAGUAUCGGAGAGGUAAUCGGAAUUCCUUGUGUAGCGGUGAAAUGCGUAGAUAUAAGGAAGAACACCAGUGGCGAAGGCGGAUUACUGGACGACAACUGACGGUGAGGCGCGAAAGCGUGGGGAGCAAACAGG
rnacentral:rRNA from 2 species